UCUGGCAAGUAGAUUAACUGACUGUCAAAAUUUAUCCAAAGGAGUAACAGGUCCUGCACACAAACACACUGGUGAACCCUUUUUCAGGAUUGUUACCAGUGAUUUCAGUAGGAGGCCAUCUGUACUAAGUCCCAGGCUUUUUAUUACCCUUUUCCCUAAUAAAGAACAACAGUAUGCUUGGUUUAGUCCAGUAUGUCUCUGCUGAAUCCUGUUGCCCCAAAGCAAGAAACAAAGCUUCAUAUGAG